UACGAAGGGUGCAAGCGUUAAUCGGAAUUACUGGGCGUAAAGGGUGCGUAGGCGGUUCGUUAAGUCUGUCGUGAAAUCCCCGGGCUCAACCUGGGAAUGGCGAUGGAUACUGGCGAGCUAGAGUGUGUCAGAGGAUGGUGGAAUUCCCGGUGUAGCGGUGAAAUGCGUAGAGAUCGGGAGGAACAUCAGCGGCGAAGGCGGCCAUCUGGGACAACACUGACGCUGAGGCACGAAAGCGUGGGGAUCAAACAGG
rnacentral:rRNA from 1 species